UCCCUGCAGGUAAGAUAAGGAUACAUAUGGAGCUUCUGCUCUGGAGCAGUGCACUCUUGCCAUGGCCUUUAUGUGGUUUGACAGGUCUUCACAUUUGUUCCUAUUCCUCAGUGUGCCUAGCCCAAACAGGACUAGCCUAUUUGUCGAGAAUUGCUGUAAUACAUUGAUGAAUAUGGAAUAUUUGGGCAUUUUGUAAACUUCAAGGGCUACGCUGUAUCUGAAAUUAUUAGCACCACAUUGGCAUAAAUUGAAGAGUUUCUUGUUUUGCACAGAAUAUGAUAGUGAUUCCAAGAUGGUUAGAGAUUUAUUCAUGACUGUAUGGGGCUGCGGUCUGGGGAAAUCAGCUCUCUAGCAAUUCUUUUUGCCUCAAGAGGUAAAAAGAGGUAUCUCGGGCCAGGUAAGGAAAAGACAGGACAAGAAAUUUCUUGCAGAAGACUGAAAAAUGUGUAACACAAAAAAUCUCCCCCUGCUCCAAUCUGAGGAUGCAGCAAAACGGUUAAUUAUUGAGACAGACCCGCAAAGCCUGAGACAAACAGAAUCAGUGCCUCGGUUUCAAUAAGCACGGCUUUUGUCUUUGGGAUACUGCGCACGCCGGGCCAGGGAACAGCUAAACACAGGGGGAGGCCAUCUCAGCCAGAGCUCCCUUGGCCGUUUCCGAGCCUUUUUCUGAAAGAAAAGACUUCGCCAUGUCGUUUCGGACCAGACGGCGAAGUGCCGCAGAUCCUCCCCCGGGCUGUGCCCCGCGGUGCCCGGGGCCGGGCCGGGCGGGAGGGCAGGAUGCGGCCCCGCCGAGCAUCCCCGCCGGCGGUGCUGCAUGGCUGCUGCCGGGGAGGUGGGGCCAGCCGCUGACCUGCCCGCACCGACACACACAGGAGGGGAAACUGGGAGCGAGCCGCAGGUGUGGAUGGCUGCCUGGCUGGCGUGAAAAGCGGGGCCCGGAGCCACCAUGGAGCACAUCCGGAUGCCCAAGGUGGGUCCUGGCGGCCGGGCAGCGGGAUCAGACAUGCAGGCAGGAUCCGGCCCCUGUGAGGUGGUUUCAUCAUCACCACCAUUAUUAUUAUUAAGCCAUUCUGCUGUUUCAGGGGCUACCCUAGCCCCUGCUCCCCUAGGGGGUGAGCACUGCGAUGUGGGCUGGGGAUUUAUGGGGCUCCUGAGUUGCCUUGUCCAUGCCUCGUGGGUAAGCAGAGAGGGGCACCCUGCCUUUCGUCCACCUUUAGUGUAUCCCAGCAUGUAAGAUCUGGCCGUGAAUUUGUUUAGUUUCUGUAGGCCAACAGUGUAUUCCUUCUACGUCUCCAUCUUCCCAAGCAUAAAGCCUGUAUUUUUUAAAGAUUAUUUUAAAAUUUUCAUCUUGCACCAAAAAAGAAGACACAGUUCUG
rnacentral:lncRNA from 1 species